rnacentral:rRNA from 1 species
CCCUUAGAUGUUCUGGGCCGCACGCGCGCUACACUGACGAUGGCAACGAGUUUUUCCUUCGCCGAAAGGUGUGGGUAAUCUUUUGAAACAUCGUCGUGCUGGGGAUAGAUCAUUGCAAUUUUUGAUCUUGAACGAGGAAUUCCUAGUAAGCGCGAGUCAUCAGCUCGCGUUGAUUACGUCCCUGCCCUUUGUACACACCGCCCGUCGCUACUACCGAUUGAAUGGUCCGAUGAAUAUCAUGGAUUGAGGAUGCAAGCAGGUUCGCCUGUCUUCAUCUUCGAGAAGUGAAGUAAAUCUUAUCAUUUAGAGGAAGGAGAAGUCGUAACA